rnacentral:misc_RNA from 1 species
UUCCGAAGAUUUGUUGCGGUUUGGUGUGUCUUUUAUUUUUACGUAGAACUCAUAUCGAUCCGAUAUGCCGCGUCCGAAAAUGGAUUUUGCGACUAAUAAGUGGCGAGGCACCACGCGAGCAAGAAUGAACAGCCCUGGAGGUUAUGGGCACUGCUCAAUUGGCUCAUUCCUCGGUGCUUCUCGAAGGCCUGGUCAAGGAGGAGUUGCUCAGUGAACUACUAGUUUGAGUUCCCUGAGACGGACACCACUGACAUCACCUACAGUGCCGAGGUGCUGCCACGGACUUUGGCUCGUGGGGGUGCCGUCGCUACUGACAAAGCCUUUGCUCCCCGUCGUCCCUGUUGAAAUGGUGGCUGGAACUUGGAGAGGGUUUGCCGCCACAGCUGGAUCCAGUGUUACAUUCCUGUGGCUUUUUGGUUGUUUCCCAAUUAUUGAAGGGAGUUGCAGGCUUAUCAUGGGCGACACAGUGCUUUGCUCGCACCUUCACGGAGUACAGCAAUGUGGGGAAGCAAGUCGAGGACAGCCUCUCUCGAUUUCUGUCCCGGGGGCGCUAUGCUCUUCCAGCUGACACCUUACAGACAUGUCAGGAAGCAAGGAAAGGUUAUUUUUUCACUCAUCGUUUACAUUUGGGUGAUUAACUUAGUCUUGAAAAAAAACACGUCAUUUUAAUGACAUUGUGAUAAAUAAAUUUUGGGUCUUUAAAUCGUC